rnacentral:RNase_P_RNA from 1 species
AAGGCUGGAUGGCCGCUUCGUGACAUCGCGCCUUGGCACGAUGCACGGGGAGGAAAGUCCGGACUCCGAUAAGGAAUGGUGCCGGGUAACGCCCGGGCGGGGCAACCCGACGGAAAGCGCCACAGAAAUUAGACCGCCCGUCAUUGCGCAGCUUGGCUGUGGAUUGUCGACGGGUAAGGGUGAAACGGUGGGGUAAGAGCCCACCGCGCUGCUGGCAACAGUGGCGGCAUGGCAAGCCCCACCAGGAGCAACGCCAAAUAGGGACCGCGUGCCGGGCAACCGGCGGAGCCUCUUAUGCUCCAGCAGGUCCGGGUUGGCGGCUGUAGCCGUGUCGGUAACGGCGCGGUCAGAGGAAUGGUCAUCCAUGAGGGGCAACUCUCAAGACAGAAUCCGGCUUAUAGGCCUUCC